rfam:Oryza meridionalis cultivar OR44 (W2112) chromosome 7, whole genome shotgun sequence.
CUGACAUGCAUGCGAGUCGACGGGUUUUGAAACCUGGGAUACGCAAGGAAUUUGACAAGUGGGAGGCCCUCGCGAGCCAUACCUCUGGCCAACCCUGAUCUUCUAUGAAGGGUUCGAAUUGGAGCACGCCUGUCGGGACCCGAAAGAUGGUGAAUUAUGCUUGAGCGGGGCGAAGUCAGAGGAAAAUCUGAUGGAGGCUCGAAGCGAUACUGACGUACAAAUCGUUUGUCUGACUUGGGUAUAGGGAUGAGACCAAUCGAACCAUCUAGUAGCUGG